ACAGAACAACCUUGAGAUGUGUCUGCGACCAAUCCACAUUCGGCACAACUCCCACAACUUGAACACCAAGCUCUUUGCCAUUUAAAUGGUUGAGAGAAUAAACUGGAUGGAUGACAAAUCCGAGAAGGGCAUUGAACAAAGUGUAGGUAUCAUGGUAAAUUAUCUCUAAGGUACUUAGCCAACUGGUGCACAUGGACGUGAUGACUUUGCAGCGUUUAUGGACCAACCACUU